AUGAUUGGUCAAACUGUGCUGUGUUAUUGCUGCAUUAUAAAUAGAGCUAUACGGAACAUCGAUCGAUGGGUGACAGGCAGCAAUAGCACUACUCUACUGCUACUAGUUUGUUCCUCCAUAUCCAUCUCACAAGAGGUUUUGACCGAUCGAGAUUCAUAUAGAAAUAUGGCUAGGACCGUGCUAGAUGGUGAGCUGUCGGUGCGCCGGGGCACGGCAUCGCUGUUGGCGCCGGCGCGGCUAACGCCGCGGGAGAGCAAGCCGCUGUCGGACAUCGACGACCAGGCGGUGUUGCGGUGCUACACCACAAUGAUCCACCUCUACCGAGGCCACCCUUCCAAGCGAUUCAUUGACCCGGCGGCGGCGGUGCGAGCCGCGCUGGCGGAGGCGCUGGUGCAUUACUACCCGCUGGCCGGCCGGCUGCGCGCGGAAGCAGGCGGGAAGCUGCUUGUGGACUGCGCCGGGCAGGGCAUCGUGUUCGCGGAGGCGGACGCCAACAUCGCCGUCGACGAUCUCGGUGACGUGCGGUACCCGCCGUUCCCGCGCUCCGAGAAGUUCAUCUACGACGAUCAUGUCUACAGAGCGCCCCCGGCCGGCGUGCCGCUAUCCUUGCCCGCAAUCAUCGACAAGCCCUUGAUGUUUGUCCAGGUGACUCGCCUCAAGUGCGGAGGCUUCACCGUGUCCCAGCAGAACGCUCACUGCAUCUGCGACGGCCCCGGCUUGGCGCAGUUCUGGAAGGCAGUAGGAGAGCUCGCCCGCGGCGCCGGCACGCCGUCCGUGCCGCCGGUCUGGGCCAGGGAGAUCAUCAACGCGCGGCUGCCACCUCGCCCUUCCUUCGCUCACCACGAGUACCGGGAGCCAGCAGACGGGCGCGACCGGUUCGAGUCCACGCCACCGGACGACAUGGCGCGCGUCCAGUUCUCCUUCGGGCCCGACGCUAUCGCCGCGCUGCGUGGUCGGCUGGCGCUGGGAGCUGCAUCGGCGUCCCAGUUGGACCUGGUGGUGGCCUGUGUGUGGAGAAGCCGCACGGCGGCGCUCGGUUACGAGCCCGGGGACGAGGUGCGGCUGAUGAUGGCCGUGAACGCGCGCGGCCGGCGCACGGACGCGUUCGGCGGCGAAAUACCCUCCGGCUACUACGGCAACGCGUUCGUCUUCGUGGUGGCGCGCUGCGCCGCCGGGGAGCUGUGCGGCCGUGGCCUGGGCUACGCGGUGGAGCUGAUCAGGGAGGCCAAGGCGAGGGUGACGUACGAGUACAUGCGGUCGGUGGCUGACCUGAUGGUGCUGGAGGGCCGUCCCGUGAUCGCGAGGACGCGCUCCUUCGGCGUGUCGGACGUGAGCCAUGCCGGAUUCGACGAGGCCGAGUUCGGGUGGGGAAAGCCCGUCUACGCCGGCGUCAUCGCGGACGCCCACCGCGGCGGCGCCAGCUUCCUGAUGCGGGGCAAGAACGACGGGGGAGAGGACGAGACGUUCGUCGGCAUCUACCUCCCGGGAGGCUGCACGGCAAGGUAUCGGAUGGAGGUGGAGGCACUCACCACCGCAAAGAAUUUGGAAGAAGCGUCUUCAGCUCCGCUUGCCUUGCGUGCCCGCUACUAA
rnacentral:rRNA from 1 species